AGCCCCCUGGCAAUGGACAAAGAGAGACCUUGCUGGGGGUGGUGUUCUUACAUCAGGCAGGGGCAGGGCAGAUGGCAGUCCUUUGUUCAUCCUUGCUUGAUACCUGGCUUGGUGGCCAAAGUUAUUUUAUGCCUAGGACACAUAA